rnacentral:rRNA from 1 species
ACAGAACUGUGGGGACGCAGAAGGAGAGCACGAGCCGGAAAUGGAAAAGCCGGUACAAGCGUAUAGCAGUCAUGCAGGCAAAACCGCAUGAAAAAUGUAAAGCGUUAUGUGGAUCGAACAUUAGUAGAGAAGCGUGUGAGCCAGCUGCCAAGAAAAGCCGCUAUUGUUUCAUAAGUACCCGUACCGUAAACCGACACAGGUGGAUGAGGAGAGAGUCCUAAGGCCGGCGGGAGAAGUGUUGUUAAGGAACUCGGCAAAAUGACUCCGUAACUUCGGGAGAAGGAGUGCCACAGAGAUGUGGCCGCAGAGAAAUGGCCCAAGCAACUGUUUAGCAAAAACACAGGUCUAUGCAAAACCGAAAGGUGAGGUAUAUGGGCUGACGCCUGCCCGGUGCUGGAAGGUUAAGAGGAGAGGUUAGAGCAAUCGAAGCUUUGAAUUUAAGCCCCAGUAAACGGCGGCCGUAACUAUAACGGUCCUAAGGUAGCGAAAUUCCUUGUCGGGUAAGUUCCGACCCGCACGAAAGGCGUAAUGAUUUGGGCACUGUCUCAACAACACACCCGGUGAAAUUGAAAUACCAGUGAAGAUGCUGGUUACCUGCGCCAGGACGGAAAGACCCCAUGGAGCUUUACUCCAGUUUGAUACUGGGAUUCGGUACUGUCUGUACAGGAUAGGUGGGAGGCUAGGAAAUGGUGACGCCAGUUGCCAUGGAGCCAACCUUGGGAUACCACCCUUACAGUACUGGGUUUCUAACCUGCAGCCGUAACCCGGCUGGGGGACAAUGUCUGACGGGGAGUUUGACUGGGGCGGUCGCCUCCGAAAGAGUAUCGGAGGCGCUCAAAGGUUCCCUCAGAACGGUUGGAAACCGUUCGAAGAGUGCAAAGGCAGAAGGGAGCUUGACUGCGACACCGACGGGUGGAGCAGAUACGAAAGUAGGACUUAGUGAUCCGGUGGUAUAAAGUGGGAUUGCCAUCGCUCAACGGAUAAAAGCUACCCUGGGAUAACAGGCUUAUCACUCCCAAGAGUUCACAUCGACGGAGUGGUUUGGCACCUCGAUGUCGGCUCAUCGCAUCCUGGAGCUGUAGCAGGUUCCAAGGGUUGGGCUGUUCGCCCAUUAAAGCGGUACGCGAGCUGGGUUCAGAACGUCGUGAGACAGUUCGGUCCCUAUCCGGCGUGGGCGUAGGAUAUUUGAGAGGAGCUGUCCUUAGUACGAGAGGACCGGGAUGGACAAACCUCUGGUGUAUCUGUUGUUUUACCAAAGGCAUGGCAGAGUAGCCAAGUUUGGCAGGGAUAAACGCUGAAGGCAUCUAAGCGUGAAGCCCCCCUCAAGAUAAGAUAUCCCAUCUUCGGAGUAAGACCCCUUGAAGACUACAAGGUUGAUAGGCUUCAGGUGUAAGUGUGGUAACGCACUCAGCUGAGAAGUACUAAUAGGUCGAGGACUUACC